CUGUGGUCACUACGGGAUGGGGGGAACUAGGUUCUGCCAUGGAGGGUGGAGGAGAGGCCUCUUCCCGACGGAAAGAGUGCCUCGCCGAUCCGGUGACCCUCAACCAUUGAGCCCUUGUCUUUGUCAUUUGGGGGAGAUGUUUCUAGUCCCGUGGGGGUUGCAAUCCCUAGUGCUGUCGAUGAAGCAUUGCACUGCCAUACCCCUACCUGAUACGCUAAUCUGUUGCGGCCAAUCCCCUCGUCGCCCGAUCACCGGAUACAAGCGCCUGCAAAAGAAAGUCCGCACUGAUCGGAGGUGGCUCCGGCGGGGACCCUCCGACGGUCAAGUAAGAGAAGAGACUAGGCAAAAGUAGAAAAGAAGCAAAGAGCUCAACGAGAGAGAGGGUAAGAGCGAGAGCUUAGAGAGGAGGAGGGAUU
rnacentral:lncRNA from 1 species